GGGCGGAAGCUACCAUGCAGUCGAACGGUAACAGGAAGCAGCUUGCUGCUUUGCUGACGAGUGGCGGACGGGUGAGUAAUGUCUGGGAAACUGCCUGAUGGAGGGGGAUAACUACUGGAAACGGUAGCUAAUACCGCAUAACGUCGCAAGACCAAAGAGGGGGACCUUAGGGCCUCUUGCCAUCGGAUGUGCCCAGAUGGGAUUAGCUAGUAGGUGGGGUAACGGCUCACCUAGGCGACGAUCCCUAGCUGGUCUGAGAGGAUGACCAGCCACACUGGAACUGAGACACGGUCCAGACUCCUACGGGAGGCAGCAGUGGGGAAUAUUGCACAAUGGGCGCAAGCCUGAUGCAGCCAUGCCGCGUGUAUGAAGAAGGCCUUCGGGUUGUAAAGUACUUUCAGCGGGGAGGAAGGGAGUAAAGUUAAUACCUUUGCUCAUUGACGUUACCCGCAGAAGAAGCACCGGCUAACUCCGUGCCAGCAGCCGCGGUAAUACGGAGGGUGCAAGCGUUAAUCGGAAUUACUGGGCGUAAAGCGCACGCAGGCGGUUUGUUAAGUCAGAUGUGAAAUCCCCGGGCUCAACCUGGGAACUGCAUCUGAU
rnacentral:rRNA from 1 species